CUGGCUUCUCGGCCUUUUGGCUAAGAUCAAGUGUGUAGAAUUUAUUCUUCAAUCAGUAGUUGGCGGUUGCUGCUAAGCUCUUGUUUCCACCAUUUUUGGAUAUAGAAUUCUUUAUUGGCCAAGUGUGAUUGGACACACAAGGAAUUUGUCUUGGUGCAAAUGCUCUCAGUGUACAUAAAAGAAAAGACAC
rnacentral:snRNA from 1 species